ACUUCGGAAACUAUUGGGGGAAACAUAGCAAUUCGUCUCACGAUUUCUAAAAUGGUUAUAGACUGUAAAACUCACAAGUUUGAGAAGCCACAGCGUGCAGUAUUGGUGCCUCAGGAUGUUAAGAAAUGGGAGUUAUCAGAAGCUUACCAGGAUAUCUUAGGAUUCCUGAUACCCAGAAGAGGUUUUAAAA